rnacentral:rRNA from 1 species
UACGAAGGGGCUAGCGUUGCUCGGAAUCACUGGGCGUAAAGCGCACGUAGGCGGGUUGCUAAGUCAGGGGUGAAAUCCUGGAGCUCAACUCCAGAACUGCCCUUGAUACUGGCGGCCUUGAGUCCGGGAGAGGGAUGCGGAAUUCCAGGUGUAGCGGUGAAAUGCGUAGAUAUCUGGAGGAACACCGGUGGCGAAGGCGGCAUCCUGGACCGGCAUUGACGCUGAGGCGCGAAAGCCAGGGGAGCAAACGGG